GCGAAGCAUCUGCCAGGAUGUUUUCAUUAAUCAAGAACGAAAGUUAGGGGAUCGAAGACGAUCAGAUACCGUCGUAGUCUUAACCAUAAACGAUGCCGACCAGCGAUUAGGAGACGUUGAAUACAAAACACCACCAUCGGUUGCGGUCAUCCUUGGCGUCUCGGUUUCGGCCGGGGCGCGGGGAUGGCUUAGCCCGGUGGCACCGGUGAAUGACUCCCCU
rnacentral:rRNA from 1 species